UACGAAGGGGGCUAGCGUUGCUCGGAAUCACUGGGCGUAAAGCGCACGUAGGCGGAUUGUUAAGUCGGGGGUGAAAUCCUGGAGCUCAACUCCAGAACUGCCUUCGAUACUGGCGAUCUUGAGUCCGGGAGAGGUGAGUGGAACUCCGAGUGUAGAGGUGAAAUUCGUAGAUAUUCGGAAGAACACCAGUGGCGAAGGCGGCUCACUGACCCGGUACUGACGCUGAGGUGCGAAAGCCAGGGGAGCAAACGGG
rnacentral:rRNA from 1 species